rnacentral:rRNA from 1 species
CUAGGGACAACAUUUAGAAAUGAAUGCUAAUACCGCAUACGAUCUAAUCUCGGCAUCGAGGAUAGAUGAAAGGUGGCCUCUACAUGUAAGCUAUCACUGAAGGAGGGGAUUGCGUCUGAUUAGCUAGUUGGAGGGGUAACGGCCCACCAAGGCGAUGAUCAGUAGCCGGUCUGAGAGGAUGAACGGCCACAUUGGGACUGAGACACGGCCCAG